UACGAAUCGUCCAAACGUUGUUCGGAUUCACUGGGUUUAAAGGGCGCGUAGGCGGUGCGUUAAGUCGGCGGUGAAAUACUUCGGCUCAACCGGAGAAUUGCCGCUGAAACUGGCGUGCUCGAGGGAGGUAGAGGUGCGUGGAACUUCCGGUGGAGCGGUGAAAUGCGUUGAUAUCGGGAGGAACACCGGUGGCGAAGGCGGCUCUCUGGACCACUACUGACGCUGAGGCGCGAAAGCUAGGGGAGCAAACAGG
rnacentral:rRNA from 1 species